rnacentral:sRNA from 1 species
GACCGCCGGUCUUUGCCGGCUAAGGCCAUACGGACAGCCGGGUCGAAUGCCGA